rnacentral:rRNA from 1 species
AUUGAACGCUGGCGGCAUGCCUUACACAUGCAAGUCGAACGGUAACAGGUCUUCGGAUGCUGACGAGUGGCGAACGGGUGAGUAAUACAUCGGAACGUGCCCGAUCGUGGGGGAUAACGAGGCGAAAGCUUUGCUAAUACCGCAUACGAUCUACGGAUGAAAGCGGGGGAUCUUCGGACCUCGCGCGGACGGAGCGGCCGAUGGCAGAUUAGGUAGUUGGUGGGAUAAAAGCUUACCAAGCCGACGAUCUGUAGCUGGUCUGAGAGGAUGAUCAGCCACACUGGGACUGAGACACGGCCCAGACUCCUACGGGAGGCAGCAGUGGGGAAUUUUGGACAAUGGGCGAAAGCCUGAUCCAGCCAUGCCGCGUGCAGGAUGAAGGCCUUCGGGUUGUAAGCUGCUUUUGUACGGAACGAAAAGCCUCUUUCUAAUAAAGAGGGGUCAUGACGGUACCGUAAGAAUAAGCACCGGCUAACUACGUG